rnacentral:snRNA from 1 species
GUGCUUGCUUCCACAGCACAUAUACUAAAAUUGGAACAAUACACAGAAGAUUAGUAUGGCCCCUGUGCAGGAUGACAUGCAAAUUUGUGAAGCGUCCCAUAUUUUU